rnacentral:rRNA from 1 species
UACGUAGGUCCCGAGCGUUGUCCGGAUCUAUUGGGCGUAAAGCCAGCGCAGGUGGUUUAUUAAGUCUGGUGUAAAAGGCAGUGGCUCAACCAUUGUAUGCAUUGGAAACUGGUAGACUUGAGUGCAGGAGAGGAGAGUGGAAUUCCAUGUGUAGCGGUGAAAUGCGUAGGUAUAUGGAGGAACACCGGUGGCGAAAGCGGCUCUCUGGCCUGUAACUGACACUGAGGCUCGAAAGCGUGGGGAGCAAACAGG